GGCUUGUUGAUUAUAAUUUUAAGUCUGGCCUGCCCAAUGAUAAAUUUAAUGGCCGCGGUAUAUUGACCGUGCAAAGGUAGCAUAAUCAUUAGUUUUUUAAUUGAAAGCUUGUAUGAAAGGUUUGAUGAGAAAAUUUCUGUCUCUAUAGUAAUUAAUUAGAAUUUUAUUUUUAAGUGAAAAAGCUUAAAUUUUUAUAGAAGACGAGAAGACCCUAUAGAGUUUUAUAUUAGUAUUAAAUAUUUAAUUUAAAGAAUUGUGAUUUAUUUUUGAUACUAGUAUUUUAUUGGGGUGAUUAGAAAAUUCAAUAAACUUUUCUUUUUAAAAAACAUUGAUGUAUGAAUAUAUGAUCCUAUAAUAUAGAUUAAAAGAUUAAAUUACCUUAGGGAUAACAGCGUAAUCUUUUUUAGAGUUCUUAUCGAAAGAAAGGGUUGCGACCUCGAUGUUGGAUUAAAAUAAAUUAUUGGUGUAGAAGCUAAUGGAUUAAGUCUGUUCGACUUUUGAAAUUUUACAUGAUCUGAGUUUAAACCGGUGUGAG
rnacentral:rRNA from 1 species